CAAUAGCGUAUAUUUAAGUUGUUGCAGUUAAAAAGCUCGUAGUCGGAUUUUGGCUGAGAACGAUCGGUCCGCCGUUAGGUGUGCACUGAUUGGUCUCAGCUUCCUGGUGAGGAGGUGUGCUUCACGGCCACUUAGUCACCGUGGUUACUUUGAAAAAAUUAGAGUGUUCAAAGCGGGCUUACGCUUGAAUAUAUUAGCAUGGAAUAACACCAUAGGACUCCUGUCCUAUUUCGUUGGUCACGGGACGGGAGUAAUGAUUAAGAGGAACAGUUGGGGGCAUUCGUAUUUCAUUGUCAGAGGUGAAAUUCUUGGAUUUAUGAAAGACGAACUUCUGCGAAAGCAUUUGCCAAGGAUGUUUUCAUUGA
rnacentral:rRNA from 1 species